AUUGAACGCUGGCGGCAGGCUUAACACAUGCAAGUCGAGCGGGGAAAGGUAGCUUGCUACCUGACCUAGCGGCGGACGGGUGAGUAAUGCUUAGGAAUCUGCCUAUUAGUGGGGGACAACAUCUCGAAAGGGAUGCUAAUACCGCAUACGUCCUACGGGAGAAAGCAGGGGACCUUCGGGCCUUGCGCUAAUAGAUGAGCCUAAGUCGGAUUAGCUAGUUGGUGGGGUAAAGGCCUACCAAGGCGACGAUCUGUAGCGGGUCUGAGAGGAUGAUCCGCCACACUGGGACUGGGACACGGCCCAGACUCCUACGGGAGGCAGCAGUGGGGAAUAUUGGACAAUGGGGGGAACCCUGAACCAGCCAUGCCGCGUGUGUGAAGAAGGCCUUUUGGUUGUAAAGCACUUUAAGCGAGGAGGAGGCUACCGAGAUUAAUACUCUUGGAUAGUGGACGUUACUCACAGAAUAAGCACCGGCUAACUCUGUG
rnacentral:rRNA from 1 species